UAAUGCUAACUGUACUUUCAGUUUUGUAAAUUAUUUUAAAACAAGUAAGUAAAGCAAGUCAAAUAUUAACAUUUUUCAAAAAAAUAUAGGUAUCCUUCCAAAGAAAGAGCUUCCUGCAAGGAUGACUGUGUAACCUGAAAAGUCGAAAGGUAUAAUUAAUUUGCUGAAAAUUAAGAGGACAGUAUUUGCUAUGAGGUCAAUAAAGCUCUUUAGAAGAAAUUUCUUAUCUUCAGUUCCUAAAGUGAACAUGUCAAGCUUAUAUUUUGCAGAUACCUGCUCCUGCUCAACUGAAAAUGAUUUCAAUUCCAGUAUGGGGUGAACUUUAAUUCGCUUCCCAUCUUUUUGGCCAGCACCAUUAAACCUAAGAAACAACCAUACAAUUGCAUUUAUGAAAGAAAUUAACUUUCACCAAUUGAAUUGUAUUUCUGAAUGUGAAUGCAGAGAACCAAUGGGAAGUUCUGGACCUGCUGCCUUCGAGCUACCUUUACAUAUCUCCUACACUGCCCGCACUGAUAGUCGAUGGGUUCGUCAGCAAAGUAUUUCCUAAGAGCGGCAUCUAAGGAAGUAAUGUUUGUACUUUCUGUGUCACAUAGGUCAACCGACAAAUCCAAAAAUGGUUCAAACUUGAUUGAACUCAUGCCGCAGUUAGGACAGACAUCUACAAAAGAAUGUUUUCACCUGUUAUUUUUAGAUGACCACCAAAAAUUGUGUACGGUGGAGUUGUCAGCUGGCUGGAUGCAUCAAGACUGCAACAGACACAGAAUGUUCAGGAAUAUAACAAACAUCUAUCGACAACAAAAGGUAAGGUUACCUCUGAUGAGUCUUCAGGUAAAAGAGACCCAGAGACAAUUUCCAGCAUCAUUCUCCUCCUCUUCUGGAUCAUGUCCCUGGACUUCAACUGGCAUGACUUCCCUGCAGCCAAUCUCCUAGCAUUCCAGCAGGUGAACACCCCACAGUUACUCCAAUUAUUUUGUAAUGUGAUGGUUGCUUCUUUGAUCAACCAUGUGUCUUUUUGGAAUAGCUGACCUUUUUGACUUGCCUCCAUCUCCAUGUAAUUUAGUAUUGUCUACAAAAACAAACACUGUACAAAAAUACUGCAAUAACUAUUUUACUGGGUAGAUAACUCCUGAAUUGGGUGUACAAAUAUCAUGAAUUGAAUUUGAAUAAGCUUGAAUUGACUUUAAUUUGGCUUAAAGUGGAUUGAAUUGAUUGCACUGCUUUGAAGUAUUUUUGAAUUGUGUUAAAUUAAAUUGAAUUGGUUUGAAUUAGUUUAAAUUGGACAGAAUUAGGGGUGUACACUGUACACUUAGCUGGGGAGUUAUCUACACCUUGAUUGUACCAGGAUAAUGACAAAUCCACUCACUUCGCUGCAACCUAUAUGACUACUAAGUAGUAUGCUGUCAUAAUGUGUGAUGACUUUUUCCCUGAUAUUGAUGAGGCAUAAUGACCAGUGGUCGGCCAUGAAAAUGGGAAUGAAUAUGAGAUGCUUUUUAAAGAUGUUGAUCUAUAGUUUGAAAAAAAAAAAUGAAGGUUUUACAGGCUGUUAAUAGCAGUUAUUGUGAGGGUGCAAACAAAACAAAUCAGAGCCAAAAGCGUGGUCAGUGGAAUAAUAGGAUUCGCUGUCUCAGCCAAUCUAUGCAAUCUGUUACAGUGCACUUUUACCUUAUCUUUAGUCCAUGAUUUAACUCCACAGAAUCCCCUCUUAUUCAGUUGGGUGUAAAAAUGAGAGUUUAGAUGAUGAAUAUGGUUGCCUGCCUGUUCCAUUAUGAGCUCCAUAUAGAAGUCAACAAUCUAUUUAAAAAAGACAAAAAAGUUGAAGGUUUUGCAACAGUUAUUAUACGAGGGGGUAAUCACUCCGUGAAAAUGCGUACACCUCAACUUUUCACUUUUCCACUUGUAUUCACUUUUUCACAGUUUUACAACAUUUACUUCAUUUCUAUGCCUAUAUCCCCUCUAUGUUAUUCAUUUUUGAUCAGUUUUGUCCAAAUUUUCUUUCAGUUUUCAUCACUUUCAGUCAACUUUUUGUCACUUUCCCUUUACCUUUUAUAGAAAUGUGUACACCUACUUUCUGUAGUGAUUACCCUCUCGUUAUUAUAUAAUUGUCAAUCAGGGUAUUACAGGUCAGGGAAGUCAUAUGGAAAAAUCAGUCAAUUGGAAAUCAGGUCUGAAAGUCAUGGAAAAGUCAGGGAAUUUCACUCCAGGAACCUUUGUAGCAACCCUGAUUGUGCAGUCUCUACUGACUUCUGAUUGCUUUUGCACAUACCUUGUCAUUCAGCCAGGUUUCACCUCUGAGAGUAGCAAGAUCCAUGAUGUAUAUAUUUAAAUUGAAUUUUGAAAUUACUGUAGUAUUUGCUGGGUGCUUGAAUAGGUCCUUAAUAUUUCAUAUACAAUGUUAG